rnacentral:rRNA from 1 species
GGGGCGUAGCAAUACGCUCGCUGGCGACCGGCAAACGGGUGCGGAACACGUACACAACCUUCCUUUAAGUGGGGAAUAGCCCGGGGAAACCCGGAUUAAUACCCCGUAAUAUAAUGAAGUGGCAUCGCUUUAUUAUUAUAGCUCCGGCGCUUGAAGAUGGGUGUGCGACUGAUUAGGCAGUUGGCGGGGUAACGGCCCACCAAACCUACGAUCAGUAACUGGUGUGAGAGCACGACCAGUCACACGGGCACUGAGACACGGGCCCGACUCCUACGGGAGGCAGCAGUAAGGAAUAUUGGUCAAUGGACGCAAGUCUGAACCAGCCAUGCCGCGUGGAGGAUGAAGGUCCUCUGGAUUGUAAACUUCUUUUAUCUGGGAAGAAAUCCACGAAUUCUUUUGUGGUUGACGGUACCAGAUGAAUAAGCACCGGCUAACUCCGUGCCAGCAGCCGCGGUAAUACGGAGGGUGCAAGCGUUAUCCGGAUUCACUGGGUUUAAAGGGUGCGUAGGUGGGUUGGUAAGUCAGUGGUGAAAUCUCCAGGCUUAACUUGGAAACUGCCAUUGAUACUAUCAAUCUUGAAUACCGUGGAGGUCAGCGGAAUAUGUCAUGUAGCGGUGAAAUGCUUAGAUAUGACAUAGAACACCAAUUGCGAAGGCAGCUGGCUACACGAAUAUUGACACUGAUGCACGAAAGCGUGGGGAUCAAACAGGAUUAGAUACCCUGGUAGUCCACGCCCUAAACGAUGGAUACUCGACAUACGCGAUAUACUGUGUGUGUCUGAGCGAAAGCAUUAAGUAUCCCACCUGGGAAGUACGAUCGCAAGAUUGAAACUC